rnacentral:rRNA from 1 species
UACGUAGGAGACAAGCGUUUGUCCGGAAUUACUGGGUGUAAAGCGCGUGUAGGCGGUAGGCCAAGUCUGCUGUGAAAUCGCCCCGGCUCAACUGGGCGCGGUCGGUGGAAACUGGUCAACUGGAGGACGGUAGAGGCGAGUGGAAUUCCCGGUGUAGUGGUGAAAUGCGUAGAGAUCGGGAGGAACACCAGUGGCGAAGGCGGCUCGCUGGGCCGGUCCUGACGCUGAGACGCGAAGGCGUGGGGAGCGAACGGG